rnacentral:lncRNA from 1 species
AGGGUGUCCAUCCCAGAAAAUCCGGCAGCCGCCACGCAUGGCAGGCUGGUGGUCAGAACACCCGGGAAGACUGGGAGUGAGAAAUAUCUGAAGCAUUCUCUUCCUCGCCUCUUGGCACUGUGGAAGCAAGAGGGGAAAAAAAAAAAAACUCAGGGGAACCUGUUGGACAGGACCAGCAAGGCUGCCUCUGGUGCUUGACACCUCCCCUGCUAGAGGAGGUUCCUUGGCUUCUCCUUCCCAGCAGAGAGGAGGGCUAGGACCGGAGAGAUCAGAGCAACCGGGUGCCUACUUGCCAGACCUCCAGGGAAGUGCUGGAGAGCUUUGGAGCUCUGGAUAGGGGUGGCGCAUCCAUCUUCCUGGGAAGAAGAGGAAGUUGCACAGACACCGAUGGCUACAGAGGUGCACAGUAGAGGGACAAGAUAUCAGAUGUUUGUUGCAGGAGGGGGGAAAACCCAUCACACUUUGUUCUUUAUGCCAGCUUUUUUUUUCCUGUCGCUUAUUUUAUUAUAAGGAAACAAGGGUUCUAAUGGGAGAUAAAAGGACAGAGGUGACAAGAUGGCAAGGAAUCUGAACUGGGGAGCUGAAGUGUUGAGAUGAAUGCGGACGAUUGAGAGGUGUCCAUCCGUAGGUGUGAUUUUGGGGAGAGAUGGAGGAGCUUCCUUCAAAACCUUGGAGGAAGAGAAAGUGGUGCUCUCCAUCUACCUAGGACAUCUACACACUAAUGACCUAAUUCAGCACAGAGCAAAGGUCAGUGUCCCCUGGGCACUGCACCUGGUGAUUUCUGCAUUCAGCACUCUUCCUUGGUGCCUUCAUCUGUCUGGCGAGUCAUUAAGCCUCUGGCAAAGAGCAGACUGCAAGGACCGGCCUGGUGAGCACAGUUCUCUUAAGUGGGAUCUGAAAGGGACACUCUCACACACGCUUUCCUCAGGAAGGAGUCCAGAUUCCUUUGUAUUCAUGCAGUGGUUUGCAAAAAAAAAAAAAAAAAUCUGAAUUGAAUCUUGACUUGAUUUCCACUAAUGUAUAUAUAAACUCUGUGUAACUCGAUCUCCUAAGACGUGAGGUACAUAUUUAUCUUUUUCAGUGUUAAGAAGCAAGCUAAAUGAUUCUUUCUUCCUUACUGUUCCUUUCCCCCUCAAAGCUGCUGUAUCUAUUUCAUCUUAUGAUCAAAAAGAG